UACGUAGGGUGCGAGCGUUGUCCGGAAUUAUUGGGCGUAAAGGGCUCGUAGGCGGUUUGUCGCGUCGGGAGUGAAAACCCAGGGCUUAACCCUGGGCUGGCUUCCGAUACGGGCAGACUAGAGGUAUGCAGGGGAGAACGGAAUUCCUGGUGUAGCGGUGAAAUGCGCAGAUAUCAGGAGGAACACCAGUGGCGAAGGCGAGUCCCUGGACGAUACCUGACACUGAGGCACGAAAGCUAGGGGAGCAAACAGG
rnacentral:rRNA from 1 species